rnacentral:rRNA from 1 species
UACGUAGGGUGCAAGCGUUGUCCGGAAUUAUUGGGCGUAAAGAGCUCGUAGGCGGUUUGUUGCGUCGGCUGUGAAAUCCCGAGGCUCAACCUCGGGUCUGCAGUCGAUACGAGCAAACUAGAGUGUUGCAGGGGAGACUGGAAUUCCUGGUGUAGCGGUGAAAUGUGUAGAGAUCAGGAGGAACACCGGUGGCGAAGGCGGGUCUCUGGGCCGAUACUGACGCUGAGGAGCGAAAGCGUGGGGAGCGAACAGG